rnacentral:rRNA from 1 species
UACAGAGGUCCCAAGCGUUGUUCGGAUUCACUGGGCGUAAAGGGUGCGUAGGCGGUCGGGUAAGUCUGAUGUGAAAUCUCACAGCUUAACUGUGAAACUGCAUUGGAUACUAUCCGGCUAGAGGAAUGGAGGGGAGACUGGAAUACUUGGUGUAGCAGUGAAAUGCGUAGAUAUCAAGUGGGACACCAGUGGCGAAGGCGAGUCUCUGGACAUUUCCUGACGCUGAGGCACGAAAGCCAGGGGAGCAAACGGG